rnacentral:rRNA from 1 species
GAUGAACGCUAGCGGCAGGCUUAACACAUGCAAGUCGAGGGGUAUAGGAAGCUUGCUUCCUAGAGACCGGCGCACGGGUGCGUAACGCGUAUGCAACCUACCUUUUACAGAGGGAUAGCCCAGAGAAAUUUGGAUUAAUACCUCAUAGUAUAUGUUUUUCGCAUGUUAGACAUAUUAAAGUAACAAAGGCAAAAGAUGGGCAUGCGUCCUAUUAGCUAGAUGGUAAGGUAACGGCUUACCAUGGCAACGAUAGGUAGGGGUCCUGAGAGGGAGAUCCCCCACACUGGUACUGAGACACGGACCAGACUCCUACGGGAGGCAGCAGUGAGGAAUAUUGGACAAUGGGCGCAAGCCUGAUCCAGCCAUGCCGCGUGCAGGAAGAAGCAUCUAUGGUGUGUAAACUGCUUUUGUACGGGAAGAAACACUCCCUCGUGAGGGAGCUUGACGGUACCGUAAGAAUAAGGAUCGGCUAACUCCGUGCCAGCAGCCGCGGUAAUAC